rnacentral:rRNA from 1 species
AAUCAACGCUGGCGGCAUGCCUAACACAUGCAAGUCGAACGCGAAAGUUCCUUCGGGAAUGAGUAGAGUGGCGUCCGGGUGAGUAACGCGUGGGUAAUCUGCCUUUGGGUGGGGAAGUAACCCAGGGAAACGUUGGGCGUAAUACCGCAUAAUGCAGCGGCUCGACAUCGAGACAGUUGUUAAAGCCUCUCGCAAGAGGGGCGCCUAAAGAGGAGCCUGCGUCUGAUUAGCAGUUGGUGGGGUAAUGGCCUACCAAGGCUACGAUCAGUAGCUGGUCUGAGAGGACGGCCAGCCACAAUGGCACUGAAAC